rnacentral:snoRNA from 1 species
AUAGUUCACUGAACUAAAAAUUUCACAAAGAACUCACAAGUGCAGCUAGUGAGCUACAGGAGAGCAAGUCUUUCGCUAACACCACAAGGGUCUCUGGACCAAUGAGUGGAGUUUGAUAGUAAUUCUUGCUACAAGA